CGUGGAGACAGGUGGUGCAUGGCUGUCGUCAGCUCGUGUCGUGAGAUGUUGGGUUAAGUCUCGCAACGAGCGCAACCCCUAUCGUUAGUUGCCAGCAUUAAGUUGGGCACUCUAGCGAGACUGCCUGGGUUAACCAGGAGGAAGGUGGGGAUGACGUCAAGUCCUCAUGGCCCUUACGGUCAGGGCUUCACACGUGCUACAAUGGACGGUACAGAGGGCAGCGAAGCCGCGAGGUGGAGUCAAUCCCAAAAAGCCGUUCUCAGUUCGGAUUGGAGUCUGCAACUCGACUCCAUGAAGUCGGAAUCGCUAGUAAUCGUGGAUCAGAAUGCCACGGUGAAUACGUUCCCGGGCCUUGUACACACCGCCCGUCACACCACGAAAGUCUGCUGUACUCGAAGUCGCUGAG
rnacentral:rRNA from 1 species